rnacentral:rRNA from 1 species
AUUGGACGCUGGCGGCAUGCUUUACACAUGCAAGUCGAACGGUAACAGGCCUUCGGGUGCUGACGAGUGGCGAACGGGUGAGUAAUGCAUCGGAACGUACCCAGAGGUGGGGGAUAACGCAGCGAAAGCUGUGCUAAUACCGCAUGUGAUCUGAGGAUGAAAGCGGGGGACCGAGCAGCAAUGUUUGGCCUCGCGCCUUUGGAGCGGCCGAUGUCGGAUUAGCUAGUUGGUGGGGUAAAGGCCUACCAAGGCGACGAUCCGUAGCUGGUCUGAGAGGACGACCAGCCACACUGGGACUGAGACACGGCCCAGACUCCUACGGGAGGCAGCAGUGGGGAAUUUUGGACAAAGGGCGCAAGCCUGAUCCAGCAAUGCCGCGUGCGGGAAGAAGGCCUUCGGGUUGUAAACCGCUUUUGGCAGGAACGAAACGGUGUCCGCUAAUACCGGGCGCUAAUGACGGUACCUGCAGAAUAAGCACCGGCUAACUACGUG